AGGUUGGUUGACAGCGUUGCCCUCCACAGAGAAGACCAGAGAGAAAACAGCCUGCAAAGAUCCAGAUAAUUCUCUGCAAUAAAAAGAAGCUUCUCCCCUAAGUCUGAGUUUGGGGCGGAUCGACCCAACCUGGCUAACAGGGUGCUGUGU